AACAGGACUUUGACCUUGUAAAUGGUUUCCAAGGUAAAAAUUUGUGCAAUUGGAAACUAGUGUUGGCGGAGGACUGUGCUCUACGAGCACGGUGCUCGAGUCUUAAUUAUGGACAGUUUCAAAUUUC